rnacentral:lncRNA from 1 species
ACCCUUGCCGCCCUAGCGGCCAACGGAGGUCGACCACGUUCCCUAACCAUGGUUAGGGACGGGUGCCACCGAGAGGCGCUGAAGGCUUCGAGAGUGAGAUGGAUGGAAAAAACCUCCACGCAAACACCCUAAUUUAUAGCGCAAAGCUCGAAGGCCACCCUCCUCGCUCCAGAAGCCGCCGCCCCUCUCGCCCAAUCGCCCUCAAGUCAUGAGCGGAAAAUGGAACCUCCCUGAUGCACCAAUGCAUGCAGGGGCGGGCCCAUCCACGCCCGCGGCUUUUGAGGCCAUGAUCACCACUUGCCCGAUCACCGCUGCGCAUACCCUACGCGUGGCAGAAGCAUUUCCAAGGAAUAAAGGGGCCAUCACGCACACGCCGCGCACCCUCCCACUUCAGGCGUUCAAUGUGCGACGUCGGGAAAGAAAGCCUACAAAGGCUUGAUUCUGAUAAGCCCGGGGCCUGCGAGUGCGUGCACUGCUUUGGGCCUGGCCCAACAACGCCUCGCAUGCGUGUGUGGCCCAGGCCCGGGGGCUCCGGUCGGUGCACUAAAGACCGGGGUCUCCAUUUACCCGGACUAGUGCGUGGACACUGGCAGCCCCCUCCACAGCGACAAGGCGCGUCUCUGGUGUAUAGGGCGGAAGAAAGCCUCGGAAGCCCACCAAGUGCAGACUGGAAGCCCCCCGGCAAGCGCCCGCUUGUUGGGAAUGAAGAAGAGACCCCGGCAGGAGCUCCCCCCCGGGAAGAUAGACACUGCCAAGGCAAGACCCUCCCGCCAAGGAAGAAGGACUGAGCCCCGGCAAGCCAUCCUUGCCGGGAAUAUUGACAAGGCCUCGGCAUGCCAUCACCUCCCUGCCGAGAGGAACAAGAAGAUCCCCCAGCAAAGUAACCCUGCCGGGGAGGAAAAGAAUGCCCGAAGAGAGUCGCGGGCCCAGGGCGCCUUCGCGUCCUAUGAACGCCUCCACCGACGAACACGCCACCGCCGAUGCAUGGACCACGCGUUCGUCCACACGCUAGCGCAACACCCCGAAGUUGCCACGUGUGGGUACGUGUCCAACCCCCCUCACGAGGUUAGGAAGUCUAUCAAAGCAUUUAAUGCACCGCAGUAACACUGUGGCGGGCGGUCGGCGUUGUUCCACUCGUGAACCCACGUUCACCCGUUGAGCCACUGUGGUGACCCCUUCGCCUAUAAAAGGAGGCCUGAGGCUCAAUAGAAAGGACUGUUGGCUUUUUGACCAAUCGAAGGCUGUAAGAGGGACAGAUCUACAGUAAACUUAAACAAAUAACUAAACACAUGCAGGAGUAGGGUUUUACGCACAACGCGGCCCGAACCUGGGUAAAAUUGACCUUGCCAGGCCCUGACUAUUGGUUCUGCUCUUGCCGCGACCCCUCUCCCCGCCAAACUAGCAAAAGGAGACCGUUGAGGCCCCCAUAGGUGUCGAUCCUUUCACCGACAACGGGUGAUCCAUCCGAUCGCGCGCGAGGUCCGGGACGUCGCUCGGUGGAGGCGGCGUGACGGCGUCUGAGAUGAAGCCGGNGUCCCAACGCAGCCGGUGCGUGACCGUAUGAAGGCGGGUGGUGAUGAAAUGGUCCCAGUCGGAGAACGACGACAACAACCGGCACAAGACGAGGGCGAGCAGACACGUAGUUGACGGCCGUUAGGGGCCGCAGCAUCGCAAGGGGCGCCUCGUCGGUUAGGAGGCCGGGCCACGCCGAUGUCUGAGUAGAGGCACGAGAUUGAUGGAGGCGGCGAGCGACGCAAACCGAUCUUAGAUCAGAAAACCAAAAAGAAAAAAUAUCGAUCAAAGCGACCAACAGAAGAGAGAAAACGCGGAUCAAGAAAUUGCGAAAAAGACUCUCUAGGGCAGCCAGAUAACACGACCGGCGGAUGAACCCUAGGUACGGCCGGCGCGGCUUCAGUGGCAGUCAUGGGGACCGAUAGCCCGAGGGCAACGCAUGGGGCGAAAGCGACAGACAGUGGCUAGGUCUCGGAACUUGGUGCAGAUAUCAUGUUAAAAGUGUAGAGACUUAGAUUUGGGCUAUGCAACUCUCAAUAUUGAUCGGAUGCACUAGACACGUAUAUAUAAGGUAUAAAAUAGGCCUCAACCUCAACUAUACAAGAAACUAGGAGGUGGGUCUAUGACACAAUAUACACAGUGGCGAAGCCACAUAAAAGCUGUGUGAUCACUUGACCACACAACAUUUUAGUGAAACUCUUAACUACAAGGAAAAAUUAUUGAGAAGAUAGUACAAAAAACUGUAAAUACACAUCUAAUUGACAUUACAACUUAAAGUGUACGUCACAUACUUGAAUUUUUUUCACCGCCACUGAACAUACAUGCACAAAUAUAUACUCAACCCCCUGGCAGUCAAAGCACGCCGAGAGACCCAAAGAAUGAAACGAAGCUCCUCGAAGAUGAAAAUUGACAGUCCCUUAGUUAUCACAUCGACGAACUGCGGUCGGAACAUGAAAAAUCGGAUGUGACUAAGGGCGUCAUGUUCAAGCACAAAGUGGAUAUCAAGCUCCAUGUGCUUCCUGGAUAUAGACGGAUUUAUGAAAUACGUAGUUGUUAUAUUGAUUGAGCUUCCUAGACAUUAUAUAUAGAAGUACAAUGAUCAAUUUAAGUAUAAGUUAAAAUAAGACAAAUAAUAAUUUAUCUUAUAUUUCGUAAUAAUCAAUAUAGAGUGGGUGUCAGGGGAAGCCUUACAAUAGCGGCUUCGCAGCUGGUCAGCUGACAAUGAUGAGUACAGGGCACAAGGAUGGUGAUAGCGACGGGCGAAGUGCACCAGCGCGCGCUCUGGGCGCGGCCGAACCUUGUGGCUGGUGCUGGAUCGGCAGAGGGAGAAUGACUGGCUGGUGCGUAUGCGUGCAUGGGAACAAAUGGAUAUUCUUAUCCGGAAGCCACCAAUGGGAGGCCGUAUCUUAUCCGCGCCUCGCAUAGAUAACACUUGCCUGCCCUGACAACUCGCCUCUCAACCACGAGUGAGAUCGAUCUUCCCGCGUACCAAGCCCACCGACCAACAUGGCAGCGUCUCUCCAAGCCGCGGCCACGCUGAUGCCGGCCAAGAUCGGCGGCCGGGCCUCCUCCGUGCGGCCGUCGUCGCACGUCGCCCGGGCGUUCGGCGUCGACGCUGCCGCCAGGAUCACGUGCUCCCUGCAAUCCGACAUCAGGGAGGUCGCAAGCAAGUGCGCCGACGCCGCCAAGAUGGCCGGCUUCGCCCUCGCAACCUCUGCCCUCCUCGUCUCUGUAAGCUGACUAAUCUAUUCUAUUGCCGUGCAUGGCCGUUUAUUCUAGUCCAGCUAGCUAGAGUGACUCGCGUGGGUGCAGGGCGCAAGUGCGGAGGGGGCGCCCAAGAGGCUGACCUUCGACGAAAUCCAGAGCAAGACCUACAUGGAGGUGAAGGGUACCGGCACCGCGAACCAGUGCCCGACCAUCGACGGCGGCGUCGACUCCUUCCCCUUCAAGGCCGGCAAGUACGAGAUGAAGAAGUUCUGCCUGGAGCCCACCUCCUUCACCGUCAAGGCCGAGGGCAUCCAGAAGAACGAGCCACCGGCCUUCCAGAAGACCAAGCUCAUGACCCGUCUCACUUACACCCUUGACGAGAUGGAAGGCCCGCUCGAGGUCGGCGCCGACGGCACCCUCAAGUUCGAGGAGAAGGACGGCAUCGACUACGCGGCCGUCACAGUGCAGCUCCCCGGAGGCGAGCGCGUGCCGUUCCUCUUCACCGUCAAGCAGCUCGUCGCCACCGGCAAGCCGGAGAGCUUCAGCGGGCCCUUCCUCGUGCCCAGCUACAGGGGUUCCUCUUUCCUCGACCCAAAGGGCCGUGGUGGCUCUACUGGCUACGACAACGCGGUGGCGCUGCCCGCCGGAGGCAGAGGAGACGAGGAGGAGCUGGCCAAGGAGAACGUGAAGAACGCGUCCUCCUCCACGGGCAACAUCACCCUCAGCGUGACCAAGAGCAAGCCGGAGACCGGCGAGGUGAUAGGCGUCUUCGAGAGCGUGCAGCCGUCAGACACCGACCUCGGCGCCAAGGCGCCCAAGGAUGUCAAGAUCCAGGGUGUGUGGUACGCGCAGCUCGAGUCUAACUAGAGCAUAGCAGAAGUGAAGAUACUCAUCUUUUGUGCAUGCAUACGUGGGUUGGUCGGUGGAGAGGAAAGAAUCGAGGCAAC